GGAAGAGUCUUGCUUUGGGAACCUCCAC
rnacentral:piRNA from 1 species